GCGCCGGUGGUGUAAGGUGUAGCAUCGUUGCCCGAAAAGGAGAAGGUGCGGGUUCGAGUCUCGCCUGGUGCA
rfam:Heligmosomoides polygyrus genome assembly, scaffold: HPBE_contig0002286